rnacentral:rRNA from 1 species
UACGUAGGGUGCAAGUGUUAAUCGGAAUACUGGGCGUAAAGCGUGCGCAGGCGGUUAUGUAAGACAGUUGUGAAAUCCCCGGGCUCAACCUGGGAACUGCAUCUGUGACUGCAUAGCUAGAGUACGGUAGAGGGGGAUGGAAUUCCGCGUGUAGCAGUGAAAUGCGUAGAUAUGCGGAGGAACACCGAUGGCGAAGGCAAUCCCCUGGACCUGUACUGACGCUCAUGCACGAAAGCGUGGGGAGCAAACAGG